AUUGAACGCUGGCGGCAGGCCUAACACAUGCAAGUCGAACGAGUGGCGGACGGGUGAGUAAUGCUUGGGAAUCUGGCUUAUGGAGGGGGAUAACGACUGGAAACUGUCGCUAAUACCGCGUACCAUCGGAUGAGCCCAGCGGGGAUUAGCGAGUUGGUGGGGUAAUGGCCAACCUAGGCGACGCUCGCUAGAUGGUCUGAGAGGAUGACCAGCCACACCGGAACUGAGACACGGCCCGGACGCCUACGGGAGGCAUCAGGGGUGAAUAUUGCGCAAGGGGGGCAACCCUGAAGCAGCCAUGCCGCGUGAAUGAAGAAGGCCUUCGGGUUGUAAAGUUCUUUCGGUGACGAGGCGUUAAUCACAGAAGAAGCACCGGCUAACUCCGUGCCAGCAGCCGCGGUAAUUC
rnacentral:rRNA from 1 species